rnacentral:lncRNA from 10 species
CCGCCCCACUGAAACUCACGAGCCCUGCCCCGUCCCCAGGGCAUGGCCUAUCUGCACGCGCAGCACUACAUCCACCGAGACCUAGCCGCGCGCAACGUGCUGCUGGACAACGACAGGCUGGUCUCGAACUCCUGACCUCAGGUGAUCCACCCACCUCAGCCUUCCAAAGUGCUGGGAUUACAGGCAUGAGCCACCGUGCCUGCCUUUCAUUGCCUCUUGAAAAGAGCUUGUCUUGUUUAUACUGUAGAAAUUCCUUGAGCUCAUAGGCAUUGCUCAGGGUCAGAUGACAGUUCUGAGACUCACUGAGUUGCUGGAACGAGGGGAGAGGCUGCCACGGCCCGACAAAUGUCCCUGUGAGGUGAGACUUCCUUUGUCUUUCCCUGACCCCACUAUCCUGCUGUGGAGAGGGCAGCCCCCACCAGCCCUGGUUUUUCCUUCUAGGUCUAUCAUCUCAUGAAGAACUGCUGGGAGACAGAGGCGUCCUUUCGCCCAACCUUCGAGAACCUCAUACCCAUUCUGAAGACAGUCCAUGAGAAGUACCAAGGCCAGGCCCCUUCAGUGUUCAGCGUGUGCUGAGGCACAAUGGCAGCCCUGCCUGGGAGGACUGGACCAGGCAGUGGCU